CCUACGGGAGGCAGCAGUGGGGAAUAUUGCACAAUGGGGGAAACCCUGAUGCAGCAACGCCGCGUGAAGGAAGACGGUUCUCGGAUUGUAAACUUCUAUCAAUAGGGAAGAAAGAAAUGACGGUACCUAAAUAAGAAGCCCCGGCUAACUACGUGCCAGCAGCCGCUGUAAUACGUAGGGAGCAAGAGUUAUCCGGAAUUACUGGGUGUAAAGGGAGAGUAGGCGGCAAGGUAAGCGAUAUGUGAAAGCCUUAAGCUUAACUUAAGGAUGGCAUAACGAACUAUCUAGCUAGAGUACAGGAGCGGAAAGCGGAAUGCCUAGUGUAGCGGUGAAAUGCGUAGAUAUUAGGAAGAACACCAGUGGCGAAGGCAGCUUUCUGGACUGAAACUGACGCUGAGGCUCGAAAGCGUGGGGAGCGAACAGGAUUAGAUACCCUAGUAGUC
rnacentral:rRNA from 1 species